GGAGGCUUGGCUCAGUGGUAGAGCACCUGCCUAGCAAGCAAGCAUAUGGCUUCGGUUGAAACCCCAUAGUUUUCA
rnacentral:tRNA from 1 species